GAAAGUUAGAGGGUCGAACACGAUCAGAUACCGUCCUAGUUCUAACCAUAAACGAUACCGACUAGGGAUCAGCGAGUGUUAAAUAAAAAUGUUUUUAUCUACCACUGUUCAUAUGU